UGGGCUUGACAUGCCCGUAAUCCUGCAGAGAUGCGGGAGUGCCCUUCGGGGAAUCCGAACAC
rnacentral:rRNA from 1 species